CUUGCUCUCUGGGUGACGAGCGGCGGACGGGUGAGUAAUGUCUGGGAAACUGCCUGAUGGAGGGGGAUAACUACUGGAAACGGUAGCUAAUACCGCAUAACGUCUUCGGACCAAAGUGGGGGACCUUCGGGCCUCACGCCAUCAGAUGUGCCCAGAUGGGAUUAGCUAGUAGGUGGGGUAAUGGCUCACCUAGGCGACGAUCCCUAGCUGGUCUGAGAGGAUGACCAGCCACACUGGAACUGAGACACGGUCCAGACUCCUACGGGAGGCAGCAGUGGGGAAUAUUGCACAAUGGGCGCAAGCCUGAUGCAGCCAUGCCGCGUGUGUGAAGAAGGCCUUCGGGUUGUAAAGCACUUUCAGCGAGGAGGAAGGGUGGUGUGUUAAUAGCGCAUCACAUUGACGUUACUCGCAGAAGAAGCACCGGCUAACUCCGUGCCAGCAGCCGCGGUAAUACGGAGGGUGCAAGCGUUAAUCGGAAUUACUGGGCGUAAAGCGCACGCAGGCGGUUUGUUAAGUCAGAUGUGAAAUCCCCGCGCUUAACGUGGGAACUGCAUUUGAAACUGGCAAGCUAGAGUCUUGUAGAGGGGGGUAGAAUUCCAGGUGUAGCGGUGAAAUGCGUAGAGAUCUGGAGGAAUACCGGUGGCGAA
rnacentral:rRNA from 1 species